GACGAACGCUGGCGGCGUGCUUAACACAUGCAAGUCGAACGAUGAAGCACCAGCUUGCUGGUGUGGAUUAGUGGCGAACGGGUGAGUAACACGUGAGUAACCUGCCCCUCACUCUGGGAUAAGCCUGGGAAACUGGGUCUAAUACUGGAUACGACCGAUCUCCGCAUGGAUUGUUGGUGGAAAGUUUUUGUGGUGGGGGAUGGACUCGCGGCCUAUCAGCUUGUUGGUGGGGUAAUGGCCUACCAAGGCGACGACGGGUAGCCGGCCUGAGAGGGCGACCGGCCACACUGGGACUGAGACACGGCCCAGACUCCUACGGGAGGCAGCAGUGGGGAAUAUUGCACAAUGGGCGAAAGCCUGAUGCAGCGACGCCGCGUGAGGGAUGACGGCCUUCGGGUUGUAAACCUCUUUCACCAGGGACGAAGCUAACGUGACGGUACCUGGAGAAGAAGCACCGGCUAACUACGUG
rnacentral:rRNA from 1 species